GUUUGAUCCUGGCUCAGAUUGGGAACGCUAGCGGGAUGCCUUACACAUGCAAGUCGAACGGCAGCACGGACUUCGGUCUGGUGGCGAGUGGCGAACGGGUGAGUAAUGUAUCGGAACGUGCCCAGUAGCGGGGGAUAACUACGCGAAAGCGUAGCUAAUAUCGCACACACCCCACGGGGGAAAGCAGGGGGAUUCAUCUGCACUAUUGGAGCGGCCGGAUAUCGGAUUAGCUAGUUGGUGGGGUAACGGCUCACCAAGGCGACGAUCCGUAGCCGGUUUGAGAGGACGACCAGCCACACUGGGACUGAGACACGGCCCAGACUCCUACGGGAGGCAGCAGUGGGGAAUUUUGACAAUGGGGGAAACCCUGAUCCAGCCAUCUCCGGCGUGCGAUGAAGGCCUUCGGGUUGUAAAGCACUUUUGGCAGGAAAGAAACGUCGUGGGCUAAUACCCCGCGAAACUGACGGUACCUGCAGAAUAAGCACCGCCAACUACGUGUGCCAGCAGCCGCGGCAUGUAGGUGCAAGCGUUAACGGAAUUACUUUUUGGGCGUAAAGCGUGCGCAGGCGGUUCGAAAGGAAGAUGGUGAAAUCCCAGAGCUUAACUUUGAACUGCAUUUUUAACUACCGAGCUAGAGUGUGUCAGAGGCGGUGAAUUCCGCGUGUAGCAGGAAAUGCGUAGAUAUGCGGAGGAACACCGAUGGCGAAGGCAGCCUCCUGGGAUAACACUGACGCUCAUGCACGAAAGCGUGGGGAGCAAACAGGAUUAGAUACCGGUGAACCACGCCCCAAACGAUGUCAAUCAGCUGUUGGGGCCUUUCGCCUGUAGCGCAGCUAAUGCGAAGCUGACCGCCCGGGGAGUACGGUCGUGACAAACUCAAAGAAUUGACGGGGACCCGCACAAGCGGUGGAUGAUGUGGAUUAAUUCGAUGCAACGCGAAAAACCUUACCUACCCUUGACAUGUCUGGAAUGCCGAAGAGAUUUGGCAGUGCUCGCAGAGAACCGGAACACAGGUUGCAUGGCUGUCGUCAGCUCGUGUCAUCGUGAGAUGUUGGGUUAAGUCCCGCAACGAGCGCAACCUUGUCAUUAGUUGCUACGAAAGGGCACUCUAAUGAGACUGCCGGUGACAAACCGGAGGAAGGUGGGGAUGACGUCAAGUCCUCAUGGCCCUUAUGGGUAGGGCUUCACACGUCAUACAACGGUCGGGACAGAGGGUCGCCAACCCGCGAGGGGGAGCCAAUCCCAGAAACCCGAUCGUAGUCCGAUCGCAGCUGCAACUCGACUGCGUGGAAGUCGGAAUCGCUAGUAAUCGCGGAUCAGCAUGUCGCGUGAAUACGGUUCCUGGUCUUGGUGGCUAUUAACUGCCCGUCACACCAUGGGAGGCUUUACCAGAAGUAGUUAGCCUAACCGCAAGGGGGGCGAUUACCACGGUAGGAUUCAUGACUGGGGUGAAGCCGUAACAAGGUAGC
rnacentral:rRNA from 1 species